UUACUUAACACAUGGUGAAUUAUUAUUCAGUCUGUUACAAUGCAGCUCUUAAUGACAUUUUGUGUAGAAAGCUGUAGUAUUUGGUGAAGAGGCCAUAGAGGCCAAAUCGGGCUUUCAAAGUUAAGCUUCAAAUAAUUGACAAGAAGACAGCCAGCAUAAAUGUAAAAAAUUAUAUGUAAAUACUUGUCCAUCUCUUCUAACCUUCUUAAAAAUAAUGCACAUCUAUAUUCCUGAAAACAAAUGUGAAAUCAAAGUAGUGACAGGGCUUAAUCUACAAUAGUAAUUAUAAAUAACUAUUCGAUUUCAGUAAAAUAUACGGUUGACAAAAUAAGAAUGAAAAGAAUUCAGCACUGAAGCUUUUAUUUAUUAUUAUUAUUAUUAUAAGUAUAAUAUCGAAUCCCUACGGAACAUAACUGCUGUUGAGUAGAGGUUCUCAAUUAUAGCGACUUUGCAGAAACAACCAGCAAUUACCUCCUUCUUUUGAGAUUCAUUUA